rnacentral:rRNA from 2 species
CCUUCACUCUGGGACAAGCCCUGGAAACGGGGUCUAAUACCGGAUAACACCGGCUUCCGCAUGGAAGCUGGUUGAAAGCUCCGGCGGUGAAGGAUGAGCCCGCGGCCUAUCAGCUUGUUGGUGGGGUAAUGGCCCACCAAGGCGACGACGGGUAGCCGGCCUGAGAGGGCGACCGGCCACACUGGGACUGAGACACGGCCCAGACUCCUACGGGAGGCAGCAGUGGGGAAUAUUGCACAAUGGGCGAAAGCCUGAUGCAGCGACGCCGCGUGAGGGAUGACGGCCUUCGGGUUGUAAACCUCUUUCAGCAGGGAAGAAGCGAAAGUGACGGUACCUGCAGAAGAAGCGCCGGCUAACUACGUGCCAGCAGCCGCGGUAAUACGUAGGGCGCAAGCGUUGUCCGGAAUUAUUGGGCGUAAAGAGCUCGUAGGCGGCUUGUCACGUCGGGUGUGAAAGCCCGGGGCUUAACCCCGGGUCUGCAUCCGAUACGGGCAGGCUAGAGUGUGGUAGGGGAGAUCGGAAUUCCUGGUGUAGCGGUGAAAUGCGCAGAUAUCAGGAGGAACACCGGUGGCGAAGGCGGAUCUCUGGGCCAUUACUGAC